rnacentral:rRNA from 1 species
AUUGAACGCUGGCGGCAUGCUUUACACAUGCAAGUCGAACGGUAACAGGCCGCAAGGUGCUGACGAGUGGCGAACAGGUGAGUAAUGCAUCGGAACGUGCCCAGUCGUGGGGGAUAACGCAGCGAAAGCUGCGCUAAUACCGCAUACGAUCUCUGGAUGAAAGCGGGGGACCGAAAGGCCUCGCGCGAUUGGAGCGGCCGAUGUCAGAUUAGGUAGUUGGUGGGGUAAAGGCCCACCAAGCCAACGAUCUGUAGCUGGUCUGAGAGGACGACCAGCCACACUGGGACUGAGACACGGCCCAGACUCCUACGGGAGGCAGCAGUGGGGAAUUUUGGACAAUGGGCGCAAGCCUGAUCCAGCAAUGCCGCGUGCAGGAAGAAGGCCUUCGGGUUGUAAACUGCUUUUGUACGGAACGAAACGGUCCUGGUUAAUACCUGGGGCUAAUGACGGUACCGUAAGAAUAAGCACCGGCUAACUACGUGCCAGCCGCCGCAGUAACAC